UACGAAGGGGGCUAGCGUUGCUCGGAAUUACUGGGCGUAAAGGGAGCGUAGGCGGACUGUUUAGUCAGAGGUGAAAGCCCAGGGCUCAACCUUGGAAUUGCCUUUGAUACUGGCAGUCUUGAGUACGGAAGAGGUAUGUGGAACUCCGAGUGUAGAGGUGAAAUUCGUAGAUAUUCGGAAGAACACCAGUGGCGAAGGCGACAUACUGGUCCGUUACUGACGCUGAGGCUCGAAAGCGUGGGGAGCAAACAGGG
rnacentral:rRNA from 1 species